UACAGAGGUGGCAAGCGUUGUUCGGAAUUACUGGGCGUAAAGGGCGCGUAGGCGGUUGGAUAAGUCAGCUGUGAAAACCACGGGCUUAACUCGUGGCCUGCAGUUGAGACUGUCUGGCUUGAGUGUGGGAGAGGAGAUGUGGAAUUCCUGGUGUAGCGGUGAAAUGCGUAGAUAUCAGGAGGAACACCGGUGGCGAAGGCGGCUCUCUGGACCACAACUGACGCUGAGGCGCGAAAGCUAGGGGAGCAAACAGG
rnacentral:rRNA from 1 species